rnacentral:rRNA from 1 species
AUUGAACGCUGGCGGCAGGCCUAACACAUGCAAGUCGAACGGUAGCACAGAGAGCUUGCUCUCGGGUGACGAGUGGCGGACGGGUGAGUAAUGUCUGGGAAACUGCCCGAUGGAGGGGGAUAACUACUGGAAACGGUAGCUAAUACCGCAUACCGUCGCAAGACCAAAGUGGGGGACCUUCGGGCCUCCCACCAUCGGAUGUGCCCAGAUGGGAUUAGCUAGUAGGUGGGGUAAUGGCUCACCUAGGCGACGAUCCCUAGCUGGUCUGAGAGGAUGACCAGCCACACUGGAACUGAGACACGGUCCAGACUCCUACGGGAGGCAGCAGUGGGGAAUAUUGCACAAUGGGCGCAAGCCUGAUGCAGCCAUGCCGCGUGUAUGAAGAAGGCCUUCGGGUUGUAAAGUACUUUCAGCGGGGAGGAAGGCGGUGAAGUUAAUAACUUCACCGAUUGACGUUACCCGCAGAAGAAGCACUGGCUAACUCCGUGCCAGCCGCCGCAGUAA